rnacentral:rRNA from 1 species
UACGUAGGGUGCGAGCGUUAAUCGGAAUUACUGGGCGUAAGGCGUGCGCAGGCGGCCGAGCAAGUCGAGUGUGAAAGCCCCGAGCUUAACUUGGGAACUGCGCUCGAAACUACUUGGCUAGAGUGUGGCAGAGGGAGGUGGAAUUCCACGUGUAGCGGUGAAAUGCGUAGAGAUGUGGAGGAACACCGGUGGCGAAGGCAGCCUCCUGGGCUAACACUGACGCUCAUGCACGAAAGCGUGGGGAGCAAACAGG